rnacentral:snRNA from 1 species
GUGCUCGCUUCGGCAGCACAUGUACUAAAAUUAGAGUGAUACAGAGAAGAUAAACAUCACCCCUUUGCAAAGAUGAUAUGCAAAUUCAUGGCCAAUGGCCUCCGAAA